UACGUAGGGGGCAAGCGUUGUCCGGAAUCAUUGGGCGUAAAGAGCGCGUAGGCGGCCCUGUAAGUCCGCUGUGAAAGUCAAGGGCUCAACCCUUGAAUGCCGGUGGAUACUGCAGGGCUAGAGUGUGGGAGAGGUGAAGCGGGAAUUCCUGGAUGGUAGCGGUGAAAUGCGAUAGAUAUCGAGGAGGAACACCUGUGGGUGCUAGACAGCUUACUGGACCACGAACUGACGCUGAGACACGAAAGCGUGGGUAGCAAACAGG
rnacentral:rRNA from 1 species